rnacentral:hammerhead_ribozyme from 1 species
AUCAAGUUGACGAGUCCCACAUGGGACGAAAUGCGCAUUGUUCUGGAU